rnacentral:rRNA from 1 species
GACGAACGCUGGCGGCGUGCUUAACACAUGCAAGUCGAACGGAAAGGCCCUGCUUUUGUGGGGUGCUCGAGUGGCGAACGGAUGAGUAACACGUGAGUAACCUGCCCUUGACUUUGGGAUAACUUCAGGAAACUGGGGCUAAUACCGGAUAGGAGCUCCUGCUGCAUGGUGGGGGUUGGAAAGGUUCGGCGGUUGGGGAUGGACUCGCGGCUUAUCAGCUUGUUGGUGGGGUAGUGGCUUACCAAGGCUUUGACGGGUAGCCGGCCUGAGAGGGUGACCGGCCACAUUGGGACUGAGAUACGGCCCAGACUCCUACGGGAGGCAGCAGUGGGGAAUAUUGCACAAUGGGCGGAAGCCUGAUGCAGCAACGCCGCGUGCGGGAUGACGGCCUUCGGGUUGUAAACCGCUUUCGCCUGUGACGAAGCGUGAGUGACGGUAAUGGGUAAAGAAGCACCGGCUAACUACGUG